GUAAAUUAGCUUAAAUAUCACACAUACAUCGACACAUUUUUCGGGGUGUCUGCAAAGAAUUAUUCUGAGUGGAUCGAGAACUGGGAUGUAUGGAGGCCUAAC
rfam:Paraglaciecola arctica BSs20135 DNA, contig: CTG041.